rnacentral:rRNA from 1 species
UACGAAGGGGGCAAGCGUUGUUCGGAUUCACUGGGCGUAAAGGGUGCGUAGGUGGUCGGGUAAGUCUGAUGUGAAAUCUCCGAGCUUAACUCGGAAACUGCAUCGGAUACUAUUCGGCUCGAGGGUUGGAGGGGGGACUGGAAUGCUUGGUGUAGCAGUGAAAUGCGUAGAUAUCAAGCGGAACACCAGUGGCGAAGGCGAGUCCCUGGACAACUCCUGACACUGAGGCACGAAAGCUAGGGGAGCAAACAGG